rnacentral:lncRNA from 1 species
ACCCCUACCUCGCUUCAUAGUGGUUACCCAAAGGUAACUCCUGCCUUGGUGUGACUCGAACUUGUAGUUGUCUAUUUUAUCCUUUUACAAAUAUCAAAAAAAAACUACAUGAAACUAGACCCUAACAUGUCAUCUUAUUUUAUGUCUCAACUAAUACAAUAUCACAAAUUUCUACAUAAUUCAUAAUUGACCUACACUUGCCAAAAUGAUUUUGCUUCCUAAAAUACCAAGGUGUGAACUUGAAAUCAUUGGUAGUUCUAACGAUUUAUUUAGAAUGGGCUACUCUAACACAUGGGGAAAAAAAAAACAAAAAGGGGGGGGGAGAAGGUGGAAUAAAAAAAAAAAAUUAAAAAAAGGGAAAAAAAUUAAAAUUAGAAAAACAAAAAAUUAACAAAAAGGGGGAAAUUUUAAGAGAUACGAAUAAAGAAAAAAAUUAAAAGAAUUAAGGCAAGUCUACAUAAAAAAAAAAAAUCACAUGGUUUACCCAAUGUGAGCUAAUCUAUGACUGCUACAAUUGGUUCACGUAGUAUAUAGCUACGGUAACACGUAUGUAAAACUACCAAAAUACCCUUAUAAAAAAUUGAUAGUACAAAACAAUGUUUUAAAAACUGGACCGGAUCGGACGGUUCGACCAGUUGAACGUCGCCGAUCGUGAAACGGGCCGGUCACCCUUCAAAAUCCGUUCUGGUCAAAACUCUCGGUCACCGCGGUCAUCCGGCGGUUGAACCGGUGAACCCCGUGAUUGAACCGGUCAUGACCCGCCAGUUCACAUUUUACAAAUAAUAAUAAUAAUUUAAAAAAUUUUAGAUUUUAAGUAUAAACUUGGUCUAGAAAAAUCAAAAUAUUUGAAUGACUAUUACAUAAAUAAAUUAAUGGACAGAUGAUAACAUCACAUGUCAAUAACAGUUCAUAAUAGUUGAUCUGACGGUUAACCUUGACCCUCGACUGAUUAUUUUUUCGAUUCACCACUGGUUUCUGAUUUCAAAACAGUGGUACAAGGGGAGCUUUGCAAACAUUAAGGGGAUGUUUGGUAACGUUUUUAUUUUUUAUUUUUUGUGUUUGUUUAAUUUUUGUUUUAUUUUAUUUUAUUUUUUGUAAAACAAAAACUAAAAAUAUAUUUGUGUUCACUUUUUCUAAACUAUUUAAAAAUAAAAUGUGUUUGAUUUCACAUACUUUUAAAUUAUUUUAAAAAAAAUGUGUGGUGGAGGCGGUGGCAGAGGAGGAGAGGGGUGGAGGUGGUGGUGAGAAGGUGGUGCGGCGUGGCGGAGGAAGAGAGGGUGGAGGUGGUGGUGAGAAGGUGGUGGCGGAGGUGGCGGAGGGGAGAAGGUGGUGGGGUAGACGGUGGUGGAGGAGGAGGAGGUGGUGGUAGUGCGGUUAGAGGUGGUGGUAGUGGCGGUGAUGAGGUGGUGUGUGGGUGAGGGGAGGUGAGACGGUGGGAGGAGGAGGCAGCGGGGGGUGGAAGAGGAGAGGUGGUGGAUGGCGGCGCAGCGGCGGUAGUGGUGUGGAAGAGGAGGAGGUGGCAGUGAGAGGUUGUGGAGGAGGUGGUGAUGAGGCGACGGCGGUGGUGGUGGUGGAGGUGGAGGUGAGAAAGUGGUGAUGGAGGCGGUAGCGGCUUGUGGUGUGGUGGAGGAGGCGGAGGCGAUGGAGGCGGUGGUAGAGGAGGAGGUGAUGGUGGUGGCGAUGAUGAGGUGGUGGAGUAGGAGGCGGUGGUGGUGAGAAGGUGGUGGAGGUGGUGUGAUGGUGGUGCGGCGGCGGCGAUGAUUGUUUUAAGGAGGAUUAGGAGUCUGUGGUGGUGGAUGAGGUGGUGGCUGUGGUGGCCGGUGAUGAGGUGGUGGAGGUGGGGUGGUGAUGAGGUGGUGAGGAGAGGAGGAAGGUAGUAGUUGUGUUGAAAAAAUUUGGAUAAAAUUUGUAAAGAAAUUUUGUAAACAAACACACACUGUGUGAACACAACACACACACCAUGGGGCGGGGGGUUGGUUAUUGGUGUUACUAAUGGGGGUAAGGCGGUACAAAUAGUAAGGGGGGGGGGGGGGUGGGACACACCACAUCAUAUCCUUUCUUUGAUUAAUUGGGGGGGGGGUCACGGGUGGCAACAAAACCAGUUUUCUAUUUUCAUGAAUAAAUUAAAUAAAAUAAAAAUAAAAAAAUAAAAAUUAAACAAUUACCAAACAUCACCUAACAGUAUGAGAGACAGUCUAUACCGGUCUGAGUGGUUACUAUUACUAAAGCGAGAUGUUUGCCAAAGGUAGCCCAACCUAUUCUGCAAAAAUAAAUACAGUAAAUAAAUAAACAUUGUUUGACAAUAGUUGCUUCUGCUAGUGCUAGCUAAUUCAUAUUUUUUAUUUUCAGUUAGAGCUGUCAUUUAACUUUUUUUUUUUUUUUCUCUUCACAGAGAAAUUUAAAAAUAUAAAAAAUAUUUAAAUUUAAAAAAAAAUCUAAAGUCCGAAUUUAGCCAAUUUUUCAAGUAAAAAUAGCAAUUUUCUCGUCAUGUUUGUCUACCGUAUCUAGGGAUGUACAGACAAGGUAUAGACGGCCAGUCACACUCCAUAAAUCUAAAAUAAACCUUAAUAUGAUUUUAAAAUGUAAAGAUAAUUUCAAAAUUAUAAAGAUUCGUACCCUCAAAUCAUUGAGUUUCACACCCAUAUUGUAUACAAGUUUAAAGAAGAUAUUAUAGAAUUAUUAAUUCCUACCUCUAGUUUCGAAGGGAUGCAUGUGUUAGUAAAAUAAAAAAUUAUAUUGUACUUUAAAAAAAUUGUAACAAAUUUUCUUAGUUAGGGGUUUUAUAUCUUUCCCUCACCCCAAAGUUAAAGAGUCCUAUUAUCAGUUUGAUGGUUGGUGGACCUAACUAAUAGCUUGUGCUUAUAUCUACCAUUUCCAUUAUUCAAACACCACAUAGUUCAUCUACUUCUAAUGUGAGAAUUAAUACAUGAGAGUUCUCUUUUGAUAGUAUUGAACUGCAAGCCAUGUGUUAUUACCAACUAACUGAAGGAAAUACAAAAUGGAUCAUAAAAAAGUUAGACGAUCCUACUCAUCAGACAGCCUCUAACUUUUUAUUUUAUUUUAUUUUUUUCUCAAAUUCUUGAUCCAAACACAACCUAAAUGAUUUGAUUCUAGAAUUGAACUAACAAAGUUAAUUGGGAGCUGAAGCUCUGAACUUGGCCUUAAGUAUGUUGGCUAUCUCAACAAGCAUUUCGGUUUUAGGCAUAACAUCCUUCACUGCGUCGUGUGAGCAAAACCUAUCGGCCCAUCCCACCAGAUGAGGCGUCUUGGCCUCAUCGAGUAGCUUCACACAAGCUAUCUUCUCUGUUGCCUUCAAC